AUGGAUCGCACUCAGCUUGCCACCAAUUUCCCAAGUUAAAUCCUUUUGGUCAACUAAAGAAAUAUGCAGAUCCAAGUGAAGUGUAGUUGCGGCACAGGGAGCUGUCUAGAAUGGGCAAUCGUGGAAUUACAAGGUGUAGUUGAAGAAGAACUACACUUUCACGGUUGGGUAUCAUGAAUUGACUGGGUCUAAGGUCACCAUGAAGAAGCCAUUGUUGGUUUUGAAGAACCUGAACAACACUGUAAAAGAAGCCGCCGAAGCCAAUACCGUCCUUGAAAAUCUUGUUGAUAUGCAUAAUGGUGUUGUUGGUCUUCUCCGAUCCACUAUUCGUCACAUCGUAUAUAUGCAAUAUCACAUCCGUCAUCUUUAUCAACAAAGCCCUAACUCUAACCCUAACCCUAACCCUAAGACUUCAAACUUGGUAUCCUCUUCCUCUCCCCGCUCUCUCUGAAUCUCUGAUUCCCAAAGCAACUGGUCAUUGGCUUUCCUCUUUCUGUUUUCUUGGCUUUUAAAACCUGCCCUCCUCCCUCUCUCCCGUUCAAUUAAAGAACAGAACUUAUCGGCUUUCAUUUUGGCUCACACUGAAUUUUAAAAAUAGAUGAGAAAUUGGUAUUAGGAUCAUGGAAUUUGAGAGAGAUAGAAUGGGAAGAGAGAGAGUUUAAGAAGGGUGUUUAUAAAAUUUAAAUUAUUUUUGUCUCUUUUGUAAUAAAUUUCAUAAUGGAAAGA